rnacentral:misc_RNA from 1 species
GAUGAAGAACGCAGCGAAAUGCGAUAAGUAAUGUGAAUUGCAGAAUUCAGUGAAUCAUCGAAUCUUUGAACGCACAUUGCGCCCCUUGGUAUUCCGAGGGGCAUGCCUGUUCGAGCGUCAUUAUAACCCCUCAAGCUCAGCUUGGUGUUGGGGCCUGCUGCACUGGCAGCCCUUAAAAUCAGUGGCGGCGCCAUCUGGCUCUAAGCGUAGUAAUUCUUCUCGCUAUGGAGUCCUGGUGGAUGCUCGCCAUCAACCCCCAAUUUUUCUAUGGUUGACCUCGGAUCAGGUAGGGAUACCCGCUGAACUUAAGCAUAUAAUAAGGGAGGA